UACGUAGGGUGCAAGCGUUGUCCGGAAUUAUUGGGCGUAAAGAGCUCGUAGGCGGUCUGUCGCGUCGGCUGUGAAAACCCGGAGCUCAACUCCGGGCCUGCAGUCGAUACGGGCAGACUAGAGUGCGGUAGGGGAGACUGGAAUUCCUGGUGUAGCGGUGAAAUGCGCAGAUAUCAGGAGGAACACCGGUGGCGAAGGCGGGUCUCUGGGCCGUAACUGACGCUGAGGAGCGAAAGCGUGGGGAGCGAACAGG
rnacentral:rRNA from 1 species